rnacentral:lncRNA from 10 species
GCCUAUAGUCCCAGCUACUCAGGAGGCUUGGGACAGGAGGAUGCUUGAGCCCAGGAGUUUGAGGUUACAGGGAGCUAUGACUAUACCACUGCACUCAAGCAAGACAUUGUCUCUAAAAAUAAAUAAUGAAGCCCCAAAGACCCUGAUCCUAGCAUAACUUGCUCCCAGCUUGGGGUGUUCUCUCCCACUACCUCCAUCUUCACUGUGGUAACUCCUACUUAUCCUUCAUGACCUGGGUUAAGUGUCCCCUGUCCCCCAUCCCUUCCCCCCACCACAGAGAGGCCACCCCUAACCUACAGACCAAGUGGGUUCAUGUUAUGGUCUCUGGAAACAUCAUUCACCUCUUAGUGGCACUCAAAAUAACUGUACCUUGAUGUUUAGUGGAUGUGAGUAUUAAUGUCUCCUAGACCUACACUGUCCAGUAUGGCAGCCGCUUGCCACAUGUGGCCAAGAAAGUUGUCCAAGCGAGAUGUGCUGAUCAUAUAAAAUACACACGAGACUUCAAAUGCUUAGUAUGAAAAAAAUGUAAAACUCUCAAUGAUUUAAAAAUACUGGCCGGGCGCGGUGGCUCACGCCUGUAAUCCUAGCACUUUGGGAGGCUGAGGCAGGUGGAUCAUGAGGUCAGGAGAUCAAGACCAUCCUGGCUAACACGGUGAAACUCCGUCUCUACUAAAAAUACAAAAAAUUCUCCGGGCGUGGCGGCGGGCGCCUGUAGUCCCAGCUACUCGGGAGGCUGAGGCAGGAGAAUGGCGUAAGCCCGGGAGGCGGAGCUUGCAGCGAGCCGAGAUCGCGCCACUGCACUCCAGCCUGGGCUACAGAGUGAGACUUCGUCUCAAAAAAAAAAAAAAAAAGAAAAUUGAUUACUUGUUGAAAUAAUACUUUGGAUAUAUUGGGCUAAACAAGAUGCAUAUUUAAAAUCAAUUCUAGCCAGGCACGGUGACUCAUGGUUACAAUCCCAGCACUUUGGGAGGCCGAGGCGGGCGGAUCACCUGAGGAGCUCAAGGCCAGCCUGACCAAUAUGGUCAAAAAUUAGCCAGGCAUGGUGGCGGGUGCCUGUAAUCCCAGCUACUUGGGAGGCUGAGACAAGAGAAUUGCUUGAUCCCAGAAGGCAGAGGUUGCAUGAGCCGAGACGGCGCCACUGCACUCCAGCCUGG